rnacentral:rRNA from 1 species
UACGUAGGGGGCAAGCGUUGUCCGGAUUUAUUGGGCGUAAAGAGCGUGUAGGCGGCCUUACAGGUCAGCUGUGAAAACUCGAGGCUCAACCUCGAGACGUCGGUUGAAACCGUCAGGCUAGAGUCCGGAAGAGGAGAGUGGAAUUCCUGGUGUAGCGGUGAAAUGCACAGAUAUCAGGAAGAACACCCGUGGCUAAGGCGGCUCUCUAGUACGGUACUGACGCUGAGACGCGAAAGCGUGGGGAGCGAACAGG